GAUGAACGCUGGCGGCGUGCCUAACACAUGCAAGUCGAACGAGAGAGGAAGGUGCUUGCACCAUCCAAUCGAGUGGCGGACGGGUGAGUAACGCGUGGGUAACCUGCCUCAUACAGGGGGAUAACAACUGGAAACGGUUGAUAAUACCGCAUAAGCGCACAGCAUCGCAUGAUGCAGUGUGAAAAACUCCGGUGGUACAGGAUGGCUCCGCGUUGGAUUAGCCGGUUGGCGGGGUAACGGCCCACCAAAGCAACGAUCCAUAGCCGGCCUGAGAGGGUGAACGGCCACAUUGGGACUGAGACACGGCCCAGACUCC
rnacentral:rRNA from 1 species